GUGCUCCCUUCGGCAGCGCUGACACGGACACUGGGACGGCACAGAGAAGGUUAGCACGGCCCCUGCACGGGGAUGACGCGCAAAUCUGUGAAGCAUCCCAAUUUGAA